rnacentral:lncRNA from 1 species
AAAAGUAAAAACAAGAGAGCAAUUUAUCUGAAUAACGACUUUUAUUGAUUGAAAGUGUGCCUGAAAAGGCAGGCACAUUGGGAAGCAAUUCCUAGAAAGAGGUAAUUGCACACAAAAGGAAAAUAAACUAUCCUAAUGGCAAUGUGAACAUGGCAUUCACUGUUUCCCAACUCUGUUAUAACUCACAGAUCGUCAGUUU